GCCUCUGUGGCGCAAUUGGUUUAGCGCAUGCGACUUGUUAGUUCCUCCGAAACCCCCCUAUUAAAGUACCUAAUGCUAACAAAUAUCUCAGCUAUCAAACAUCAUAUGUCAUCGCAAGGUUGCGGGUUCGACCCCCGCCAGAGGUU
rnacentral:tRNA from 1 species